ACAAGUAUCAAUUGGAGGGCAAGUCUGGUGCCAGCAGCCGCGGUAAUUCCAGCUCCAAUAGCGUAUAUUAAAGUUGUUGCAGUUAAAAAGCUCGUAGUUGGAUUUCUGUUAAUAAUUUAUAUAUAAUAUUUAACAUAUUUAUAUAAUAUUAACAUAAUUCAUAUUACUAUUUAUAGUAUAUGAAACUUUACUUUGAGAAAAUUAGAGUGCUUAAAGCAGGAAAGGCCCG
rnacentral:rRNA from 1 species